rnacentral:rRNA from 1 species
UACAGAGGCCUCGAGCGUUAGGCGGAAUCACUGGGCUUAAAGCGUGUGUAGGUGGAGCUCUAAGUACCUUGUGAAAUCCCACGGCUCAACCGUGGAACUGCUGGGUAUACUGGUUCUCUUGAGGUACCUAGGGGCGAGCGGAACAAGUGGUGGAGCGGUGAAAUGCGUAGAUAUCACUUGGAACGCCAACGGUGAAAACAGCUCGCUGGGGGUAUCCUGACACUGAGACACGAAAGCCAGGGGAGCAAACGGG